rnacentral:lncRNA from 1 species
CAAAAGUGCCCUCUAGGAGCCCAGAGAACUCUCUGGACCCCAAGAUGUCCCUGACAGGGGCAAGGGAACUCCUACCCCAUGCCCAGGAGGAGGCUGAGGCUGAGGCUGAGUUGCCUCCUUCCAGUGAGGUCUUGGCCUCAGUUUUUCCAGCCCAGGACAAGCCAGGUGAGCUGCAGGCCACACUGGACCACACGGGGCACACCUCCUCCAAGUCCCUGCCCAAUUUCCCCAAUACCUCUGCCACCGCUAAUGCCACGGGUGGGCGUGCCCUGGCUCUGCAGUCGUCCUUGCCAGGUGCAGAGGGCCCUGACAAGCCUAGCGUCGUGUCAGGGCUGAACUCGGGCCCUGGUCAUGUGUGGGGCCCUCUCCUGGGACUACUGCUCCUGCCUCCUCUGGUGUUGGCUGGAAUCUUCUGAAGGGGAUACCACUCAAAGGGUGAAGAGGUCAGCUGUCCUCCUGUCAUCUUCCCCACCCUGUCCCCAGCCCCUAAACAAGAUACUUCUUGGUUAAGGCCCUCCGGAAGGGAAAGGCUACGGGGCAUGUGCCUCAUCACACCAUCCAUCCUGGAGGCACAAGGCCUGGCUGGCUGCGAGCUCAGGAGGCCGCCUGAGGACUGCACACCGGGCCCACACCUCUCCUGCCCCUCCCUCCUGAGUCCUGGGGGUGGGAGGAUUUGAGGGAGCUCACUGCCUACCUGGCCUGGGGCUGUCUGCCCACACAGCAUGUGCGCUCUCCCUGAGUGCCUGUGUAGCUGGGGAUGGGGAUUCCUAGGGGCAGAUGAAGGACAAGCCCCACUGGAGUGGGGUUCUUUGAGUGGGGGAGGCAGGGACGAGGGAAGGAAAGUAACUCCUGACUCUCCAAUAAAAACCUGUCCAACC